rnacentral:lncRNA from 1 species
UAUAUAGUCUGUCUCCCGUACUUUCGAAAAUACGGGACGCUCCUUGCUUGUAAGUUGUUUUCGAUGAUAGGACGUUUGAUUCGACGAUCAGCUCCAUUAGGUAUGAUCUACUCUAUUGAAACUAUCUAGAAAUUAAAUUUUAGAUUUUUUUGACAUCAUUUACUAAGCGAUCAAAAGGUCUAAAAAAUGACUAUUUUAACGGUCGAUGUGGCACAUUUUUAAGUUCAACGGUGUAGAAGUAUCCAAAUUACAUGAAAAUUUAAUAAAAAAUUCUACUUAACAUCAGUAGCGAGAUCAAUACUUCCGAUUUAUAAUUUGAAUCCUUUAUCACUGUUUUUUAUGAGAUUUUCAUUUUUAGCCGUUCAUUUUGAGGCUACUCGUUCACUAGACAAACGAAAUCAAAAAAUUAUAAAAUUUGGUUUCUAGAUAGUUCCAAUAGCGUAGAUCAAGUUUAACGGAACCGAUCGCCGAAUCGGAUGUCCCAUCAUCAAAAAUAACUUACAAGUACGGGGCUUCCCGUACUUUCGAAAGCAUAGGAGCCUAGCUCUACAUGAGUCCGUUUCCUGUACUUUCGAAAGUACGGGAGGCUCCGUGCUUGUAAGUUGUUUUCGAUGAUAGAACGUUCGAUUCGACGAUCAGCUCCGUUAAAUAUGAUCUACCCUAUUGGAACUAUCUAGAAACCAAAUUUUAGAUUUUUUUGACAUCAUUUACUAAGCGAUCAAAAGGUCUAAAAAAUGACUAUUUUAACGGUCGAUGUGGCACAUUUUUAAGUUCAACGGUGUAGAAGUAUUCAAAUUACAUAAAAAUUUAAUAGAAAAUUCUAUAUAAAAUUAGGCUACUGUACCAAGCACUUGGUGUUAUAAGAUUUUUAAUCUUUGGAUAAAAAAAUAUACGGUUAGGAUAAUAAUAAUUCCCUAGGAUUGAAUGGGUAGUGGCUAGUUGAAUAAUAUGUAACGAAUGCAAAUGAUCAAAGUGGUAAAUUUAACGAUAAAAAAUUCGAUAGCACCAAGUGCUUAGUAUUAUAGAUAGUAUAGAUUUUAUAUUUCAUCAAUUCAAGAUCAAUUUUAUUUCAUAUAUUCA